rnacentral:ncRNA from 1 species
GAGUUUGAUCCUGGCUCAGGACGAACGCUGGCGGCGUGCUUAACACAUGCAAGUCGAACGAUGAAGCCCUUCGGGGUGGAUUAGUGGCGAACGGGUGAGUAACACGUGGGCAAUCUGCCCUUCACUCUGGGACAAGCCCUGGAAACGGGGUCUAAUACCGGAUAACACCGGCUUCCGCAUGGGAGCUGGUUGAAAGCUCCGGCGGUGAAGGAUGAGCCCGCGGCCUAUCAGCUUGUUGGUGGGGUAAUGGCCUACCAAGGCGACGACGGGUAGCCGGCCUGAGAGGGCGACCGGCCACACUGGGACUGAGACACGGCCCAGACUCCUACGGGAGGCAGCAGUGGGGAAUAUUGCACAAUGGGCGAAAGUCUGAUGCAGCGACGCCGNNNNNNUAGGUGGGAGACUUUGAAGCCGUGACG